rnacentral:rRNA from 1 species
UACGGGGGGGGUAAGCGUUGUUCGGAAUUACUGGGCGUAAAGGGCGCGUAGGCGGCCUUCUAAGUCAGACGUGAAAUCCCUCGGCUUAACCGAGGAACUGCCUCCCAAACUGCUUGGCUUGAGACCGGGAGAGGUGAGUGGAAUUCCCAGUGUAGCGGUGAAAUGCGCAGAUAUCAGGAGGAACACCGGUGGCGAAGGCGGGUCUCUGGGCAACAACUGACGCUGAGGAGCGAAAGCGUGGGGAGCGAACAGG